rnacentral:rRNA from 1 species
UUUGGGUAAAGCUUCGGUCGUUCGAGAUGGGCUCGCGUCCCAUCAGCUUGUUGGUGAGGUAACGGCUCACCAAGGCUUCGACGGGUAGCUGGUCUGAGAGGAUGAUCAGCCACACUGGGACUGAGACACUGCCCAGACUCCUACGGGAGGCUGCAGUCGAGAAUCUUCCGCAAUGCGCGAAAGCGUGACGGAGCGAUGCCGCGUGGGGGAUGAAGGCUUUCGGGUCGUAAACCCCUGUCGCCCGGGAUGAAUCAAGUGACAGUACCGGGAGAGGAAGCCACGGCAACUACGUGCCAGCAGCCGCGGUAAGACGUAGGUGGCUAGCGUUAUUCGGAUUUAUUGGGCGUAAAGGGUCCGUAGGGGGUUUCUCAAGUCUGGUGUGAAAGGCCAAGGCUCAACCUUGGGACGGCACUGGAAACUGGGAGACUUGAGGGCAGGAGAGGAAAGCGGAAUUCCCGGUGUAGCGGUGGAAUGCGUAGAUAUCGGGAGGAACGCCGACGGCGAAGGCAGCUUUCUGGCCUGUUCCUGACCCUGAAGGACGAAAGCUGGGGUAGCAAACAGGAUUAGAUACCCUGGUAGUCCCAGCUGUAAACGUUGUGCACUCGGUGUGGGAGGGGUUGGUCCCUUCCGUGCCUUAGCUAACGCGUUAACGUUCACCGCCUGG